rnacentral:rRNA from 1 species
ACUCUGUCUGCGCCCGAUCUUGUCUGAUCUUGGAAGCUAAGCAGGGUC